UAAAAAUGGUGAAACACUGAGCGAGAAAGGAAAGAAGAGAGUAAGAUUUUCCCUCCCAGAAACCCCUGAGAAGAGCACCGAAUUUAAAAAUGGUGAAACACUGAGCGAGAAAGGAAAGAAGACAGUAAGAUUUUCCCUCCCUGAAACCCCUGAGAAGACCACCGAAUUUAAAAAUGGUGAAAUACUAAGAGAGAAAGGAAAGAAGAGAAUAAGAUAUUCCUCCCAGAAACCCUGAGAAGAGCACUG